rnacentral:tRNA from 2 species
UGGGGCAUUGGCGCAGUUGGUAGCGCGUCUCGUUCGCAAUGAGAAGGUCAGGGGUUCGAAUCCCCUAUGCUCCACCCA